UUAUUGAUUAUAAUUGUGUUUUAUAAAACUUGUGAAAUAUGUGGUUUAAGAGCCGCUAGCCGGUCGUAUAGAUGGCCAAAAGAGAAUUUUCAUGGCCAAAUUUCCACUGGAUGAGGAAAGAUGUAAACAGUGGGUUAAGAUGACCGGUAAGGAGGAUCUGGUUUAUGUGCCUAUUGAAAAGCUACAUCAACUUAAACGAAUUUGUGGCAAUCAUUUUCUACCACAACAUUUUAAGAACACAAUUGAAAAAAAAAAACAAUUCCAUGUGUGGGACUUACUGCAGACACUUUAUUUUAUAAUAAAUAAAUAUAAUUAUAUUUUUC